CCCGCGGCCCCGCCCUGCGGCCAGGCCGGGCUGCCGCAGCAGCGGCGACAGAGGUACAGGUGCCUCCGCCGGAGACAGCCGCCUGCCAGCCCGCGGGCUUUGGCUCCAGGCCUUCACGGCCGCUCUCCCGCCUCACACUCCGGCCUCCCCGCAGCCCGGCCAAAUGCAGGCCGUCGCCCUCCCCGAGGAGAUCCGUUGGCUCAUGGAAGAUGCUGAGGAGUUCUUGGCAGAAGGUUUGCGGAAUGAGAACCUCAGUACUACUGCAAGGGACCACAGAGACCAUAUUCUACGAGGCUUCCAGCAAAUCAAAACUAGGUACUAUUGGGAUUUGCAGCCCCAAGGUGGAGACCAAGCCGAAAGUUACCUUGGACAGGACAGCUCUGAUGAUAACCAUAGUGGAACUCAUGGCCUGCCUCUCACAUCAGAUGCACCUUUUUUGCCUGAUUAUCAGGAUGAGGGAAUGGAAGACAUCACAAGAGGAGCUCAAGAACUUGAUAACAUCAUCAAGCAAGGUUACUUGGAAAAGAAAAGCAAAGAUCAUAGUUUCUUUGGAUCAGAGUGGCAGAAGCGGUGGUGUGUUGUCAGCAGAGGCCUCUUCUACUACUAUGCUAAUGAGAAAAGCAAGCAGCCCAAAGGGACCUUUCUCAUUAAGGGCUACAGUGUACGGAUGGCCCCCUACCUGCGAAAAGAUUCCAAGAAAGAAUCCUGCUUUGAACUGACCUCCCAGGAUAGGCGCAGCUAUGAGUUUACAGCUGCUAAUCCAGCUGAAGCCAGGGACUGGGUGGAUCAAAUAAGUUUCUUGUUAAAGGAUCUGAGCUCCUUAACCAUUCCCUGUGAAGAUGAGGAGGAAGAGGAGGAAGAGGAAGAGACGUAUGAUGAUAUUGAUGGCUUUGAUGCCCCAAACUCCGGUUCCCAGUGCAGACCUAUCAUCUUGCCUGGGAGUAUGGGGCCAAAAGAGCCCACAAAGGAGACAGAAGAUGAUAUUUAUGAAGUCUUACCAGAUGAAGAGCAUGAUCUGGAAGAGGAUCAGAAUGGCACUCCACAUAAAGGAGUGGACUAUACCAAUUAUUACCAGGGCCUAUGGGAUUGCCAUGGUGACCAGCCAGACGAACUGUCCUUCCAACGGGGUGACCUCAUCCGCAUUCUGAGCAAGGAGUAUAACAUGUAUGGCUGGUGGGUAGGAGAACUGAACAGCCUCAUUGGGAUUGUUCCAAAGGAGUAUCUCACCACUGCCUUUGAAAUGGAAGAAAUAUGAAGCCCAGACCAGGGCCCACUAUAGUGUGCAGCAGCCCUGAGUGGAUUCAUUUAGGAAGAUAUGCUUUUCACAGAGAAGGUGAGAGACAAGGAAACCUUCGGAGGAGGAAGUUGUGAGCUGUGUCGGCUGAUU